AGGGGUAUAGCUCAGUGGUAGAGUGCAUGCUUAGCAUGAAUGAGGUCCUAGGCUCAAUCCCUAGUAUCUCCA
rfam:Camelus ferus unplaced genomic scaffold scaffold2727, whole genome shotgun sequence.